GCGGAUAUGGUGGAACUGGUAGACACGCAAGACUUAAAAUCUUGUUUCCGUAUGGAAGUGGGGGUUCGAUUCCCCCUAUCCGCACCA
rnacentral:tRNA from 1 species